AUGUGUGUGCCCACUCAGCUCCUGGGGUUGCUGUUGCUGUGGCUUACAGAUGCCAGAUGUGACAUCCAGAUGACUCAGUCUCCAGCCUCACUGUCUGUGUCUGUUGGAGAAAGUGUCUCCAUCACAUGCCUAGCAAGUGAGAACAUUUACAGUGCUUUACAUUGGUAUCAGGAGAAACCAGGGAAAACUCCUCAGAUCUUGAUCUAUGGUACAAUCAGCUUGGGAGAUGGGGUCCCAUCAAGGUUCAGUGGCAGUAAAUCGGGCACACAGUAUCCUCUCAAGAUCAGCAGCCUGCAUCCUGACGAUGUUGCAACUUAUUACUGUGAACAGAGUUACAAGUAUCCUUCCACAAUGAUUCAAGCCACAACAUAA